GACGAACGCUGGCGGCGUGCUUAACACAUGCAAGUCGAACGGUGAAGGUGGAGCUUGCUCCGCCGGAUCAGUGGCGAACGGGUGAGUAACACGUGGGCAACCUGCCCCUCACUUCGGGAUAACUCCGGGAAACCGGGGCUAAUACCGGAUACGACCUCCUUGGGCAGCCUUGGAGGUGGAAAGUUUUUCGGUGAGGGAUGGGCCCGCGGCCUAUCAGCUUGUUGGUGAGGUAGUGGCUCACCAAGGCGACGACGGGUAGCCGGCCUGAGAGGGCGACCGGCCACACUGGGACUGAGACACGGCCCAGACUCCUACGGGAGGCAGCAGUGGGGAAUAUUGCGCAAUGGGCGAAAGCCUGACGCAGCAACGCCGCGUGCGGGAUGAAGGCCUUCGGGUUGUAAACCGCUUUCAGCAGGGAAGAAGCCGCAAGGUGACGGUACCUGCAGAAGAAGCACCGGCUAACUACGUGCCAGCCGCCGCCGUAA
rnacentral:rRNA from 1 species